AUUGAACGCUGGCGGCAUGCUUUACACAUGCAAGUCGAACGGUAACAGGCCGCAAGGUGCUGACGAGUGGCGAACGGGUGAGUAAUGCAUCGGAACGUGCCCAGUCGUGGGGGAUAACUACUCGAAAUAGUAGCUAAUACCGCAUACGAUCUAUGGAUGAAAGCGGGGGACCGUAAGGCCUCGCGCGAUUGGAGCGGCCGAUGUCAGAUUAGGUAGUUGGUGGGGUAAAGGCUCACCAAGCCAACGAUCUGUAGCUGGUCUGAGAGGACGACCAGCCACACUGGGACUGAGACACGGCCCAGACUCCUACGGGAGGCAGCAGUGGGGAAUUUUGGACAAUGGGCGCAAGCCUGAUCCAGCAAUGCCGCGUGCAGGAAGAAGGCCUUCGGGUUGUAAACUGCUUUUGUACGGAACGAAACGGCUCUGGUUAAUACCCGGGGCUAAUGACGGUACCGUAAGAAUAAGCACCGGCUAACUACGUG
rnacentral:rRNA from 1 species